UUUCACGGUCCAUCCACACCAGACCCGGGUAUCGCCCGCUGUCUACCUGAGCGACCAGCCAAGGUUUCAGCCUCACACGUCGAGGGGUGACCGACAUCCUGGCUGUCAAGUAAACACAAACCCGUCAGUCCAAGGUGAAAUGGGGCCCACAUAUGGGGUUUAAUGCAGUUCAGAGGGCCACGCUGUGUGUAACUUCGGGCCAUCCCUCAGUAACUGUGAAAGCAUUCACAUUUACUGUACACAAUGACAAGAACUCAACCUCACAGCUAGGGGGUCAUCGACGCCGAGGGGAAAAGAAAAGUGACCUCUCAGCUUAACCUAGUUGGAGGAAUGGCCGACCCUCUUAAAGCUCCUCCAUCUGCUGUCACAUCCACCACAUUGGCUGCUGGUUUGUUGGACUGGACAGGGACGGCAAUAAGCCUCCAAUGUAACGUCUCCUGCGGCAGAAAGAAUUUGAUUUCAAAAAUGAAAUGUAAGAGUUACAGAUUUUGUUAGAGCAAAAUGUUACAGCACGAAAACAGGUCUGUUCAUCCAAAUUACAAAAAAAUGUUUUACUUACUUACUUAGUAUCUAGCUUUGAUAAUAGUUUUGGUUUUACUUGCCUUGGUUUGAAGAUGUCUGGUUCCACCAAUGGAUAUUAAUACAAUUUUUUUUUCAAAGAGAAAAAUGAAUUAGCCAAGCAGUUAGGCACACAAAUAAGCCAAACGUAAUUUUGUCUAUAAGCACGCAAAGCAAUAAUAAGGGUAUUCGUAAAAAAAAAAAUAUUAUUCAAUACACCAUUAUGCUACAUUAUCAGGUGCUAAUUGAAUUAUGCAACACUGAAGCCUCCAGUACACAGACCAACACAUACAUGAAUGAACAUAAAUCACUGUAGCAAGACUACAAUGAACGAUGUUUUUGUUGGAACUACUUUCUACUGAAGAAAUACUUCUGACGGAAAUAAAAACUGCCUUCAGAUGGCGGAUCCAUAAUGCUGAAAUACACCAGAAUUGCUUCUGUCACCUUAGUAACUGCACACAUUCUUCCACUGUACUUUCAUUGACAUUAUCAUACCUCAUCACAAUGGAAUGCAAAAGAUUUAUUUAAGGUCAGGUGUCUUUGUACUUUGCACAUGUGGGAUUUUGCAAAUGCACAAUAUGAUUUGUGACUAAAACUACAGGGGAAGAAAGGGGAACGAAAGCACAAGUGGAUCAGAAAAAAAUGCUGUAUGUACUGGUGCCUGUAUUAGUACUGUCUGCCAUCAGGACACUGUUUCCAUAAAAUAUGAGAAAACUUUAAUCAACAGUGUAAAGUGGCUUUAUUAUUUUAUGUGCAAUUAAAAGUAUAAAAACA